rnacentral:lncRNA from 1 species
UUUUUUGCACAAAAACAAUACAUUUAUUCAAGUGUUCUCCAGCACAAGUACAUACGGAGCCUUUAUCUUCUUUCUGGACACUAAACAUAAGUAUGAGGGCGGGGGAGUUGGGGGGUUCAAAGUGGAGAAUGGCUGCUACAUUUGCUGUACGGACUGGUCUUGAGGAAAAGCGUAUAGGUUAUAAACAGUUAUGACAGAAAGAAAGUCACACAGAGUGCCAACAGUUUCACUUAAUAUAGAAUCCUUGACCUGCGUUGAACAGUAAAAAUCAAAUGUUGUUACUGAUAUAAAAUUCAAAUUCAUCAAUUCAAAACAACAUUUGGAAAACAGACAUGGAGAGUAGUACGGCAUGGAAUGUAGGAUUAAGAAGCAAUGCGCAUUAAGCAUACAUUAUGCUACAGUAAAAGUUAUUACCGUUUUUUUUCUCACACGAUUUUCCCACAGAUAAGCACCAACUACAGCAAUCUCUAGUCUAAAACAAUAUAGGAAACCUUUCAUUAAUUGUUAUUCUUAUUUUUUCAAGUACAAAGUUAAAAUGCCUUUGUUAAUAUAUUUAUAUGAGUGAAAUAAUAGUUCUUUUCCAUUACUACGAGGAGAAACUUAAACUUAAAAACAGUCAUUGUCAAGACAUGUUUUAUUCUCUUCCAAUCAAAUAUAUUUUUCUUGAUUAGAUAAAAUGUUUAGCACCAUUGGAAACACCUACAAUCCCUCUUUUUAAAGUCUUAUAAAAGGAAACAGAAGCAAAAACAAAAACAAAACACCACCUUGUAGGGCUGUGCAGUGAAGUUGAGACCGUUCAUCUUAAAGCUGUCCAUAGGCCACUAUUUAGAUCACAUGACACUAAAUCUGGAUUCACUUGACACAAACAAAUCAGUACAAUAAAGUCGACUUGGAGUCACCCUACAUCUAAUGCUCAAAGCAAGUUUUGAAUCAAAUUUGUCACUUGAUUUUUUUUUUCAUUUUUUUAACCUAAAUUUGUCCUAAUUUGAUGAUAUAUAUUAGCAAAGAAUUAUAUUUGUACAUCUCAUACGUAAUAAAAAAUAAAAAAGAUGAAAACAGCAACCAGAAAACUCUAUGUACAUAAUGUACAAACAUGGGGGGAUGUUAAGUAAUAAAGGAGGGGGGAAAUAUAUCGCCAAGCACAGGAGCUCAUAUUGAGCUCAGCGCGCAUGGACAAAAAUGAUGGCAAUAAGGUCACUUAAGAAAAUAAUUACAAUAAGAAAUUAAAUUUCAAAUUUUCAAUCUUAAAUAUCAUAUAGAUAAUCAAUAACAUCUGUUUUUAUUAGCCUCUUAAGUCUUUGAGUGCUGACGUCUUUGUCAUACACUGUGUCAGUUUUUUGUUUUGACAAAACCGCAGCCUAAAUCCUCCAUAUUUAGCUUAGAGGUUACAAUCAAGAGAAUUUAGUUUGUGAAUAUAAUCCACAUUUGGAUCAGCACUUAAAUUUGUCAACAUGACUACUAUUUUCAGGGAAAUGUCCUUUACAAGGGACAGAAUAUUAUACAGAGCACAUGACACAGUUCCCUAACUCUGCCUUUACAAUCUUAAUAGAAGUAGACAUUCUUUGAAUCCAGAAAGCAACAUACUGAAAUGCUGCUCUAAAAUGAAGAACAGUAUGGAUGAUGGAAGAAAGGGAAAAGGGUUUUGGGGGUCCCAAAUGUCAAUCCAUCUAUUGUACAUUGAAAUAACAUGGGCUUCACAUCUCAAAAUCCAUUCUUUCACUUCU